AUUGAACGCUGGCGGCAUGUUACACAUGCAAGUCGAACGGCAGCACGGAGCUUGCUCUGGUGGCGAGUGGCGAACGGGUGAGUAAUAUAUCGGAACGUACCCUGGAGUGGGGGAUAACGUAGCGAAAGUUACGCUAAUACCGCAUACGAUCUAAGGAUGAAAGUGGGGGAUCGCAAGACCUCAUGCUCGUGGAGCGGCCGAUAUCUGAUUAGCUAGUUGGUAGGGUAAAAGCCUACCAAGGCAUCGAUCAGUAGCUGGUCUGAGAGGACGACCAGCCACACUGGAACUGAGACACGGUCCAGACUCCUACGGGAGGCAGCAGUGGGGAAUUUUGGACAAUGGGCGAAAGCCUGAUCCAGCAAUGCCGCGUGAGUGAGGAAGGCCUUCGGGUUGUAAAGCUCUUUUGUCAGGGAAGAAACGGUGAGGGCUAAUAUCUCUUGCUAAUGACGGUACCUGAAGAAUAAGCACCGGCUAACUACGUGCCAGCAGCCGCGGUAAUACGUAGGGUGCAAGCGUUAAUCGGAAUUACUGGGCGUAAAGCGUGCGCAGGCGGUUUUGUAAGUCUGAUGUGAAAUCCCCGGGCUCAACCUGGGAAUUGCAUUGGAGACUGCAAGGCUAGAAUCUGGCAGAGGGGGGUAGAAUUCCACGUGUAGCAGUGAAAUGCGUAGAUAUGUGGAGGAACACCGAUGGCGAAGGCAGCCCCCUGGGUCAAGAUUGACGCUCAUGCACGAAAGCGUGGGGAGCAAACAGGAUUAGAUACCCUGGUAGUCCACGCCGUAAACGAUGUCUACUAGUUGUCGGGUCUUAAUUGACUUGGUAACGCAGCUAACGCGUGAAGUAGACCGCCUGGGGAGUACGGUCGCAAGAUUAA
rnacentral:rRNA from 1 species